AUCCCCAAAUAAUUACCACUAUCCCCAAAAAGAACACAGAGCAUCACGAUCAAGAGAAACCCUAAUCACAUUCGAGAGAGCAAACGAUCAAGAUUUUCAGGAUGGAUGACAAAGUCAUCGUAAAAGCAUGGCAUGGUGGGAAGCACUCAUAUUUCUUCAAAUGCGCCUCAGAUCUUCUAUUCUCUCAGAAGACCUGAUUGAUCACAGACCCACAAAGCAAUUUAACAAAUUUGGUUGUUUCCUGUUGUUUUUUUCUUGUAAUUUAUCCUCUGUUUCUGCCCCCUUUGACAAAUUGACGCUUUUUUGGUUAAAGAUGGCAACUUUAUGUUGAGGGUAUUGAUAAAGAAACACUAAAUGCAAAGAGGGAAUUGAAUAA